UUGACAUCAUCAGAACUUGUUAGAGAUAACUCGGUGCCUUCGGGAACUGAAUGACAGGUGCUGCAUGGCUGUCGUCAGCUCGUGUCGUGAGAUGUUGGGUUAAGUCCCGCAACGAGCGCAACCCUUAUCCUUAGUUGCCAGCACAUUAUGGUGGGAACUCUAAGGAGACUGCCGGUGAUAAACCGGAGGAAGGUGGGGAUGACGUCAAGUCAUCAUGGCCCCUAUGGGUAGGGCUACACACGUGCUACAAUGGCCAGUACAGAGGGCAGCGAACUCGCGAGAGUAAGCAAAUCCCAGAAAGCUGGUCGUAGUCCGGAUUGGAGUCUGCAACUCGACUCCAUGAAGUUGGAAUCGCUAGUAAUCGCGAAUCAGAAUGUCGCGGUGAAUACGUUCCCGGGCCUUGUACACACCGCCCGUCACACCAUGGGAGUGGGCUGCAAAAGAAGUGGGUAGCAUAACCUUCGGGAGUGCGCUCACCACUUUGUGGUUCAUGACUGGGGUGAAGUCGUAACAAGGUA
rnacentral:rRNA from 1 species